GAUGAACGCUGGCGGCGUGCCUAAUACAUGCAAGUCGAGCGAACAGACGAGGAGCUUACUCCUCUGACGUUAGCGGCGGACGGGUGAGUAACACGUGGAUAACCUACCAAUAAGACUGGGAUAACUUCGGGAAACCGGAGCUAAUACCGGAUAACAUGUUGAACCGCAUGGUUCAACAGUGAAAGACGGUCUUGCUGUCACUUAUAGAUGGAUCCGCGUCGCAUUAGCUAGUUGGUAAGGUAACGGCUUACCAAGGCAACGAUGCGUAGCCGACCUGAGAGGGUGAUCGGCCACACUGGAACUGAGACACGGUCCAGACUCCUACGGGAGGCAGCAGUAGGGAAUCUUCCGCAAUGGGCGAAAGCCUGACGGAGCAACGCCGCGUGAGUGAAGAAGGUCUUCGGAUCGUAAAACUCUGUUAUUAGGGAAGAACAAAUGUGUAAGUAACUAUGCACGUCUUGACGGUACCUAAUCAGAAAGCCACGGCUAACUACGUG
rnacentral:rRNA from 1 species